CCUGUCUCCGUUGUGGGCCCGCUCGGAACUUCGGCGCGGCACAAACAGACCGGAGCGGCGGGCGGGGCUGCCAUUACUUCCUUGCCAGAGAGUUUGACCACAGAGAGUCGCCAAGAUAGCUGGGCCAGGAAGAAAACGUCGCACCCCUGACCCAGACUCCAUUACCGACCCCGGCGGGCUGUUUGUGUCUUCCAAACGGCUGAAAAUGUCCAGCAGCACAAAUGCCCCUGGCCAGAGGAGAGUGUCUCGGGGCUUGGAUGAUGCCACCAACAAGAAGAAGCAGAAGGAUCGAGCCAAUCAGGAAAGCAAGGAAGUGUCUCGCCCUGAGCUCGAGCAGGCUGAGACUGCCCAGGAGAAGGACUCAGAGGAGGAGCUGCUGCUGGACUGGAAGCAGAAUGCCGAUGAGAUCAUUAUCAAGUUGAACUUGGGCAGUGGAGCUCUGAAGGCGGAGGAUGUACGUGCUGAUUUCACCGACACAGACUGUGUGGUCAAACUACCAGAUGGGCGCCAGUGGAGCUGUCAGUUCUAUGAGGAAAUCGAGGGCUCCUGCAGCAAAAUCCAGUGCAAGAAGGGCAACUUCCUACAGCUUGUGCUUCAGAAGAAGAUCCCACUCCAUAACUGGGCUUCACUUCUGAAGAAAAGGAAAGAUGGAUCCAAAGAACCAGCCAAAGGGACGGCAUGCUGGGAGAACGGGAAGGAGAAGGCUGCUUCUGCAGAGUUGACCCCUGAAGAGCCAAGGGCUGAAGGCACAGAACCACCAAGAUCGCGGCGGGAGCCCUCCAACCCCAAGCGUGCUCCGGGAAGAAGCGAGGCCCUGGGAGGGAAAAGUCCAGGCAGCCCAGGGACACAGAGUGGCCCCAGCGCCAAGCGGGCAGUAUACCUCAAAGUGGCUCCCACUGAAGAGGAGCCAAAUGCAAGAGUCACCGGGAGCACAGAGCCUGGCAAAGGGCACAGUGGGAGGGCUGGUAGCCGCCGCAAUGGCAGAGCCAGCCAGGUAGAUGGACCUGUGGCCCUUGCAGACCUCGCACUGCCACUCGAGAAGGCUGUAGUUUUGGCCAAAGAGACUGUUCCCGUGGAGAUGCCACCUCUUGCGGCUACCACAGAGGUGUUCCCCCACCGUGUUGCCACCUGUGUUGAGAAGAGAGUCCUGCAGCCAGGCAGCCCUAAUGAGGUCUUGCGGAGCCGGGACUGCUUGCCUAUCCUGGGAGAGAGCUCCAAGGCCAUCCCACUGGCCACCCCUCCCAUGGGCAGAGAUGGUGAGAAGAGGGACUGGUCCAAGGACGACGUGGCUCUGGAAGCAGCAGCUGAUGAGCCAGAGCCUUUUGUAAGCCUGACCUUUGUCAAGAAUGACUCAUACGAGAAGGGCAAUGAUCUGGUGGUGGUGCAUGUCUAUGUGAAGGAGAUCCACAAGGAGACAUCCAAAGUGUUGUUCCGGGAACAAGACUUCACACUAGUGUUCCAGACGAGUGAUAUGAACUUCCUUCGUCUUCAUCCUGGCUGUGGGCCCCACACGGUGUUCCGGUGGCAGGUGAAGCUCAGGAACCUUAUUGAACCGGACCAGUGCACAUACAACUUUACGGUGUCUCGCAUUGAUGUCUGCCUGAAGAAACGACAGAGUCAGCGCUGGGGAGGGCUGGAGGCUCCAGCCACACGAGGUGCAGUGGGUGGUGCAAAGGUUGCCAUGCCUACAGGCCCUACCCCCCUGGAUAAGAACCCUCCCGGCAGUAACCAGCACCCCCUCUCCAGCAAGGAAGAGGCUCGAACCAGUGACAAAGAGAAGCCGCGUGUGGAAGAUGGGGCUCUGGAUGGUGUGGCAGCCCGUACGGCCCCAGAGCAUUUGGCAGUGAAGCAAGAGCCACACAUUCCUUCGCCCAAACCAACAUGCAUGGUGCCACCAAUGACACACAGCCCAGUGAGUGCUGAGAGUGUGGAGGAUGAUGAGGAUGAGGAUGAGAAGAAGAAGGUCUGCCUGCCUGGAUUCACGGGGCUGGUGAACCUGGGCAACACCUGCUUCAUGAACAGUGUCAUCCAAUCCCUGUCCAACACCCGGGAGCUGCGUGACUACUUCCAUGAUCGGUCCUUUGAGUCGGAAAUCAACUAUAACAACCCGCUGGGGACGGGUGGGCGCCUGGCCAUCGGUUUUGCUAUGCUGCUCAGAGCACUGUGGAAGGGCACACACCAUGCCUUUCAGCCCUCUAAACUGAAGGCAAUUGUGGCCAGCAAGGCCAGCCAGUUCACUGGCUAUGCCCAGCAUGAUGCUCAGGAAUUCAUGGCCUUCUUGCUUGAUGGCCUGCACGAGGACCUCAACCGCAUCCAGAACAAGCCCUACACAGAGACUGUUGACUCGGAUGGGAGGCCUGAUGAGGUGGUAGCUGAGGAGGCUUGGCAGCGACACAAGAUGAGGAAUGACUCGUUCAUAGUAGACCUCUUCCAGGGCCAGUACAAAUCCAAGCUCGUGUGUCCAGUGUGCUCCAAGGUGUCUAUUACCUUUGAUCCCUUCCUGUACCUCCCUGUACCCCUUCCACAGAAGCAAAAGGUGCUGACUGUCUACUACUUUGCAAAGGAGCCACACAAGAAGCCCAUCAAGUUCCUCGUGAGUAUCAGCAAGGAGAACUCCAGUGCCAUGGAGGUACUUGACUCAGUGGCCCACAGCGUGCGGGUGAAACCAGAGAACCUGCGCCUGGCAGAGGUGGUCAAGAAUCACUUCCACCGCAUGUUCCUGCCAUCUAACUCGCUAGACACAGUCUCACCAACGGACCUGCUGCUUUGCUUUGAGGUGCUGUCCCCAGAACUGGCCAAGGAGCGUGUGGUGGAGCUUCAGGUCCAGCAGCGUCCGCAGGUGCCCAGUGGCCCUGUCGCCAAGUGUGCAGCCUGCCAGAAGAAGCAGCUGCCAGAGGAUGAGAAGCUGAAGCGCUGCACGAGGUGUUACCGAGUCGGUUACUGCAAUGUGGCAUGUCAGAAAACACACUGGCCAGACCACAAGGCUUCAUGCCGUCCUGAGAACAUCGGUUUCCCCUUCCUCAUCAGUGUGCCUGAGUCCCGCCUAACCUAUGCCCGCCUGGCCCAGCUGCUGGAGGGCUAUGCAAGGUACUCAGUCAGCGUGUUCCAGCCUCCAUUCCAGUUGGGCCGGAUGUCACCGGAGCAGGGGCUGCAGCCUCUGCACUCAGACAAGCUGGAGCCCCUUGUCAAGAGUAGCUGUGCAGCAGCCACCUCUGUCCCUGAGCUGGGUGAUGGUGACAGGGUUUCCAGCCUCCCACAGGAGCCCCCGCUCUCGCCAGCUGUGCCUGAGCUGCAGCCAGAGAUGGGAGAUACUACCACUGUCCGGAGCAAGGUCCUGACAGCCAGGAGUUCCCUGCUGAGCUUGGAUUCAGGGUUCUCUGAGCAUAUGGAGUCACAGGGUGAAAGCUGUUGUGAGAAGGAGCCGUCCUAUGAGAGAGCCCUCAAGCCAGAAGCUGCCAUCCCUGGGUACCAACAUACUCCAGACUCCCUGAGUGCCCGCGCCACGCAGUUCUACAUCACUAAGAUUGACGCUGCCAACCGAGAGCAAAAGCUGGAAGAUAAAGGUGACACCCCCCUGGAUCUGACAGAUGGCUGCUCCCUUGCCCUGGUGUGGCAGAACAAUGAGCGCCUCAAGGAAUUCGUGUUGGUAGAAUCCAAGGAGUUGGAGUGUGUGGAGGAUCCAGGCUCAGCCAGCGAAGCAGCUCGGGCUGGUCACUUCACCCUGGAGCAGUGCCUCAAUCUCUUCACGAAGCCUGAAGUCCUGGCCCCAGAGGAAGCAUGGUACUGCCCCAAGUGCAAGCAGCACCGCGAGGCUUCCAAGCAGCUGAUGCUGUGGCGGCUGCCCAACGUCCUCAUCAUCCAGCUCAAGCGCUUCUCCUUCCGCAGCUUUAUUUGGAGGGACAAGAUCAAUGACAUGGUGGACUUUCCUGUCCGGAGCCUGGACCUGAGCAAGUUCUGCAUUGGUCGGAAAGGUGAGCAGCAGCUGCCUAUGUAUGACCUGUAUGCUGUGAUCAACCACUAUGGAGGUAUGAUUGGAGGGCACUACACAGCAUACGCCCGCCUGCCCAACGACAAGAGCAGCCAGCGCAGCGACGUGGGCUGGCGGCUCUUUGAUGACAGCACAGUCACCACCGUGGAUGAGAGCCAGGUGGUGACCAGAUAUGCCUAUGUCCUCUUCUACCGCCGGAGGAACUCUCCUGUGGAGAGGCCCCUGCCAGGGCAUCCCUCAGACCACCGUGCUGAGCACACCCCCUCUGCCGAAGCUGCUGCCAGCCAGGCUUCUCUGAUCUGGCAGGAACUGGAGGCUGAAGAGCAAGAGCUGCAGCUUGAGGCACCCCAAAGGCCUGCAAGAAACUCCUGGAGGCCCUGUGCCCAGAAGUGGAGUCCGGGUACCCCCCAGCACCCAGAUGAAGGCUGCAUCAGAUACUUUGUCCUGGCCACCACGGCCGCAAUUGUGGCUCUCUUCCUGAACGUCUUCUACCCGCUCAUUUACCAGCCCCGCUGGAGAUAGGCCCAGGCACGUGGCCAGCUGCGCGAGCAGGGCCGCCAGGGCACGCGCCGUUCUAGGACGCUAUGAGACGAAGACAUGAGGCACCAGAACAGAAAACGCUGGGAAAGACUCGCCAAGGGAAACAUGGGGCUGACGGCUCCUGCCUGUCUGCUCUGGCAUCUCCUGUGCCAGCUGGCAGGCCUGUGUGGUCAGCCUGCUACCUUGCCGAGGCGCAGCCCAGAACCAGAAGCUUCUUUGCCCUUCCUUGCUGCCCACUGGGAGUGGGGCAGACCUCAAGACUACCUGCUGCUCAAGAAUGGACAUUGCUGCUGCAAUGAGGCUGGGGCCUGAGAGCCCCAUGGGCACAUCAACCAUCUCUGCUUGGCUCCUAAGAAGGAGGUGGAGACCUGCCGGGAGACUGCAGCAAGGGCAGGAUGCCCUGACCCAGGCCCUGGUUCGCCACCUGUCUCAGCUGUGCUGCUGCAGGAGCCUUGAGCUCCCCAAGGUCUGAGGCCUACCUGUGGUCCUUGGCCAGCCCAGUCUGCCCUGCUAGCCUUCUGCUGAGGCUUCUGGUGCCAGGGACUGCCCCCGGUGGCGUUCGGAUCCGGCCUGGCCCCCGAAGGAGCCCCGCCGCUGGCUGCGGAAGGCCUCCCUGAGCGUUUCGCCAGCCCCGCCGAGCGCCCAGCCCC